AAUGGGUUAUGACGUGUACAUAUAGUUUUUUCCUUGGGAGACACCGUGGCUUGCAAACGAGCGAAGCAGCGCAGUUGCUCAGUGUUUUGAUGUACAAAUGAUGUACAAAACUCGAAAAAGCCAGCUCAUCAAGUGCUUACAUUCAGCAGCUUCUUUCAAGGGAUGUUGCCUGCCAGACAGAACACCUGGAUACGCAUAUUUGUAGGCACACAGCUAUCCUUAAAGUCUUUGCAACCCCAUUUUAAAAGUGAAGAAGACUGCGAUGCCUUUGGAGACCGUAGCACUCGGCGCGGCGCCACCUCAGAGAGUCUGGGUGGGGACGCUCCU